rnacentral:rRNA from 1 species
UGGGGAAUAUUGGACAAUGGGCGAAAGCCUGAUCCAGCCAUGCCGCGUGUGUGAAGAAGGUCUUCGGAUUGUAAAGCACUUUAAGUUGGGAGGAAGGGCAUUAACCUAAUACGUUAGUGUUUUGACGUUACCGACAGAAUAAGCACCGGCUAACUCUGUGCCAGCAGCCGCGGUAAUACAGAGGGUGCAAGCGUUAAUCGGAAUUACUGGGCGUAAAGCGCGCGUAGGUGGUUUGUUAAGUUGGAUGUGAAAGCCCCUGGCUCAACCUGGGAACUGCAUCCAAAACUGGCAAGCUAGAGUACGGUAGAGGGUGGUGGAAUUUCCUGUGUAGCGGUGAAAUGCGUAGAUAUAGGAAGGAACACCAGUGGCGAAGGCGACCACCUGGACUGAUACUGACACUGAGGUGCGAAAGCGUGGGGAGCAAACA